rnacentral:rRNA from 1 species
CCUACGGUUGGCAGCAGUGGGGGAUAUUGCACAAUGGAGGAAACCCUGAUGCAGCGACGCCGCGUGGGUGAAGAAGCGCCUCGGCGCGUAAAGCCCUGUCAGCAGGGAAGAAAAUGACGGUACCUGAAGAAGAAGCCCCGGCUAAAUACGUGCCAGCAGCCGCGGUAAUACGUAGGGGGCAAGCGUUAUCCGGAUUUACUGGGUGUAAAGGGGGCGCAGACGGCGAUGCAAGCCAGGAGUGAAAGCCCUGGGCCCAACCCCGGGACUGCUCUUGGAACUGAGUGGCUAGAGUGCAGGAGGGGAGGGCGGAAUUCCUGGUGUAGCGGUGGAAUGCGUAGAUAUCAGGAGGAACACCGGUGGCGAAGGCGGCCUGCUGGACUGCAACUGACGUUGAGGCCCGAAAGCGUGGGGAGCAAACAGGAUUAGAUACCCCAGUAGUC